CUCCAACAUCAUCAUCUCAUUCCAGACUGGAUUCAUCUUGUGCUUCACUCGCCGCGUCUGCUUCUUCUUCAGUUUGGCAUUUUGAUGUUUCAAGGUCAACUUUACUGAAAGAUCUAUCACAGAACAUACAGGUUUGUCUGACUGAAGUCCUCUAGCCUUCAUUACCACCACCCCAAGUCUAUUGGCUGCUGGCAGAUAACUGAGUGACAAUAGUAGCUCUCCAGCUGAUGAUGCCACUUCCUGCUGAAAAAGACAGAGAAAGUCUUAAAAUGCUUCAUGGGUCAAAGUUUUUGAGCAAAAGAACUAAUUUUAAAAUACAUUUUUGUGUACAUUUUACUUUUUUAACUCGGUUCACAUGAAUAGAGAUUUUAAAAUUUGCAUAUUCAUAAUUUUUUCUUGCAGGGUUAAUGAUCUUGACUUUUCACUGCAUGGAGAAUAAUUUCAUUCAAAUGUUCUAGUAAUUUGUGAGACAGACUGAAUGUGACCAGUU